rnacentral:sRNA from 1 species
CUUUCGUCCACGUUCCAGGGCCUCCUGGAAGACUUAACCUUUUGUCUUUGAAAUGCAUCAAGGACCAUUAUAGAAAGGAUCCCCUGACCUAAGGAUGAAAUCGAGCUAGGGUUAAUCAUGACAGCUGCAUCAGUUGUAUUUGAUGCAAGUCACCUCUGGAGUCCUCAUCCCUUGAAUGGACUUGUCAGCUACCUCCCCAGGAGGAGUUCAGAAGCUUCUGUUGGCCAUCACUUGAGUAGAUGACAGCUGUAAGGUAUCUGCUGCUAACAUGGCUGCUUCUCCGAGAGCACAUUGAGGUCCAGACAGAUCCAAACCUUGGCCCUAAAAAAUGUGUGCUGUAAAGUUACUUGAUGUAUAUUUAUUAUAAUUAUUUAUGGUUGCAUUUAACAAACUUUUCAUUCAAUCUGAUGCUAUUUACACCAUGCUGUGUAAAGGAAGCUCACUAAAGGAAAAAAGUCACACCAAUAAAUAACCUUCAUCUAAUUUUGAUUUACCUUAAGAGUUGUGUGAUCAUCUACUCUUGCUGAGCAAGUUCAAAGGCU